rnacentral:lncRNA from 1 species
AUCUCUUUACAGAUGGUCGUGAGCCACCAUGUGGUUGCUGGGAAUUGAACUCAGGACCUCUGGAAGAGUAGUUGGGUGCUCUUAACCGCUGAGCCAUCUCUCCAGCCCUUUUUUUUUUUUUUUUUUUUUUGGUUGUUUUUUUUCGGAGCUGGGGACCGAACCCAGGGCCUUGCACUUCCUAGGUAAGCGCUCUACCACUGAGCUAAAUCCCCAGCCCCAGAGGAUGUAUUUCUGUAUAAGUCUUUUCUCACCACUCACAGCUUGUGUGUUGGAAGCCAGGUUGUGCAUAAGAAGGGAGAAAUGGGAUGACACAUUGACUUUUAAUUUUGGAAGCUCUGAGACAGUUCUGAUCUCAUGGCUGAACCCUCUUCCUCCAGCUCUAGCCUCUGUGAACGGCUUCUCCAGGUCAUGAUCCUUGAUGAAGGACAAGCCAGUUCUUGCAAAUCCAGAAUCAUGGCUCAUAGUAUGGUGAUGUUCCGAGAUGUGACUGUGGACUUUUCUCAGGAAGAGUGGGAGUGCCUGAGUUCCUACGACAGGGAUCUGUACAAAGAUGUGAUGCUGGAGAACUAUAGCCACCUAGUGUCACUGGGUAAGCUCAUCUGCAUCAAACCACGUUCCCGGGGCUGACGUUCUAACUGCCAAGACCCUCU